AUGCUCUGGGAGAGCCGACAGCAGCAGCUGCUGGAGCUCCUGCUCAGCUUUGCUGCAGCGGUUGCCGCUGAGGCAGGAGCACCGUGGCCCACGUGUCUGUCUGUCUGCACCUGCAAAACACGGAGGGGGCAUGAGCCACAGCAGGAUGGGGCACCAGUUAUGCCCUUGGCCCAUCAGACCGACCUGCAGCGUGCCAGGUCCUGGUCUAGGGUUGGGCUCCUCCCAUGGGUCCACCCAGGCCUCGCAUGCAUCAGGGCAAGCAUGGGGUCUGGGACUGAGCCGCAGGAGACUCACCUGACUCUGGUGAUGCUGCUCCUCGCCUCUCCUGGCGCUGGGGGAGCAGCAGCAGGACAGCAUGCCCUGCCCCACUACCUCUGCCAGGUCCCUCCAGGCUGCCUCCCGGAACUCAGGGCCCAGAUUGGCCACGUGCUCAGGCAGCCCCGACAGCAGCAGCUGCUGCAGCUCUGGUACAGCUUUGAAGAGGCGGUUGCAGCUGAGGCAGCAGCACCUUGUCCCACACGUCAGUCUGUGGGUACUGUAAAACAGGGAGGGGUCAUGAGCCAAUGAUGGGGAACCUGAGAAGCUUUUGUCCCAGCUGGCCGACCUGUGGCAUGCCAGGUCCCGGUCCAGGGUGGGGCUCCUCCCAUGGGCCCACCCCUCCCCAGGAUGCAUCAGGGCAAGCACUGGGUCUGCGGCUGAGCCACAGGAGAGUCACUUGACUCGCAAACCGAUGCUCCUCGCUGCUUCUCGCUCUGGUCAUUGGCAGAGCUGCAGCAGGACAGGCUUCCUUGCUCCACCAGCUUCGCCAGGUCCUUCCAGGCCCCCUCCCAGACAGAACUCAGGACCUGGAGUAACCACGUGCUCCAGCAGCACCGAUAGCACCAGCUGCUGCAGAUCCUGCUCAGCUUGCCUGCACCUGUUGCAGCUGGAGCAGGAGCAAGAUGGCCCAGACGUCGGUCUCUCAGCACCUGCAGAACAGGGAGGGGGCGUGAGCCACAACACGAUAGUGCACCAGUGACACCCACGUCCCAUCUGGCCGACCUUUAGUGUGCCAGGUCCUGGCCCAGGGCUGGGCUCCUGGCAUGGGCCCAUCCCUCCCUAGCGUGCAUCAGGGCAAGCACUGGGUCUGGGGCUGAGCCACUGGAGACUCACCUGACUCCAGGGCUGCUGCACCCUGCUGCUCCUCGCUCACGGCAUUCGGGCAGCUGCAGAAGGACAGGCAGCCCCGCUCCGCUACCUC
rnacentral:lncRNA from 7 species